rnacentral:rRNA from 1 species
GACGAACGCUGGCGGCGUGCUUAACACAUGCAAGUCGAACGCUAAGGCCCUGCUUUUGUGGGCUGCUCGAGUGGCGAACGGGUGAGUAACACGUGAGUAACCUGCCUGUUACUUUGGGAUAACUUCAGGAAACUGUGGCUAAUACCGGAUAGGAGCUCCUGUUGCAUGGCGUUGGCUUGAAAGUUUCCGCGGUUGGGGAUGGACUCGCGGCUGAUCAGAUUGUUGGUGGGGUAGUGGAUUAGAAAGGCUUUGACGGCUAGCCGGACUGAGAGGGUGACCGGCCACAUUGGGACUGAGAUACGAGCCAGACUGCAACGGGAGGCAGGAGUGGAAGACAGUGCAAGAAAGGCGGAAGCCUGAUGCAGCAACGUCGCGUGCGAGAUGACGGCCUUCGGGUUAUAACGCGCUUUAGCCUGUAAAGAAGCGUGAGUGACGGUAAUGGAUAAAGAAGCAACGGCUAACUACGUG